AUGGAGGACUAAAAGUGCCAAAAUUAAAUAAAUAAAUACAUCAUUAAAUAAUUAAUUAAAUAUGUCAUUAAUUAAUUAAAAUUGGAAUUAAAUAUUUCAUUAAUUAAUUAAAAUUGGAAUUAAAUAUUUCAUUAAUUAAUUAAAAUUGGAAUGAAAUACUUAAAUGUGUUAUUAAAUAAAUAUAUCAUUAAAUAAUUAAAUAUGUCAUUAAUUAAUUAAAAUUGGCAUUAAAUAUGUCAUUAAUUAAUUAAAAUUGGCAUUAAAUAUGUCAUUAAUUAAUUAAAAUUGGAAUUAAAUACAUAAAUGUGUUAUUAAAUAUGUCAUUAAUUUAUUAAAAUAACAAUUAUUUUAAGUAAAAAACAUAUUUCAUUAUUUCACUAUUUAAUUAAUUAUUUCAUGGUCCUUGCGUUGCAGUGGAUCAUGAAUUUAUUUUAUCUGUCAACCUCGCCCGUCAAAGUCGGUGGGCGGAUCCUAACACCUGAUUGGUUACCCUGCACAUCAAGUCAAGGCAAAUCGAUUCCAGAUAAUGGAUUGACGCAGAGCUUGUGAACACAUUCCGAUACACUGGGUGGCGCUAUUCACCUCUACGUUGGUUUGGAUACUCAAUAAAACAAAACUUUAUUAGCAACCGCUAAAGACUCGGUCCUCUUUCCCAAAUGUUGAUACAUGCGGUGCAAGACAAAUUUUCCUUUAGCAUUUCCUUUAGCAUCUACUCGGCGCGCCACGGCUCGUCUCGGUUUAGUUGUUUUUCCAUUACAUUGAGUACCACCUCAUCGUGGGUUGAGUCGUCAUAGCACGGUGGCCCGAAAGUCCCUUACCGUCAUUUUUGUGCGACACAAACGCAAUGCAACAAUGUACAUGGAGGCGAUAGUACACCUGCUGCUCGGUCUGUGGCUUUCUGUCAGAUUCAGAGUAACAGAAGAGUCGGAGAAAGCUGAGAGCGGCGAGUCGAAACACUCAGGAGACACACAGGAGAGUUUGGGAGGCGAUACAGCAGUAUCAAGCUGAAGACAAGAGGAUAUGAACGAGACGACAUAUAAGGAUGCUCUCUGAUGAGACUUCAUGGGAUUUACCUGAAGCAGCAGCACAUGAGCCUGCAGUGGCACAAGGUGUAGAGGAGGAGGGCAGAGAUGUACAGGAUGCACUGAUGCACUACGUGUCAUGCAAAGUUAUUCUUCUUGUUAUACUUCUGUUUUUCUGUCCCCGGACCGCUAUUGUUUUCUUUAAUGCAAUUCUGACAAUAAACUUUUGUAGAUGUG